rnacentral:rRNA from 1 species
AGAGUUUGAUCAUGGCUCAGGAUGAACGUUGGCGGCGUGCCUAAUACAUGCAAGUCGAACGGUAAGGCGCCCUUCGGGGUGCUGGAGAGUGGCGGACGGGUGAGUAACACGUAACUGAUCUGCCCUUUAGACUGGGAUAACCUUUGGAAACAGAGGCUAAUACCGGAUGAUAAAUCGGUAGUUAGAGAGCCGGUAGUGAAAGUGAAAGCGCUAAGGGAUGAGGUUGCGGGCCAUCAGCUAGUUGGUGAGGUAAAGGCUCACCGAGGCGAUGACGGCUAGGGGACCUGAGAGGGUGGCCCCCCACACUGGGACUGAGACACGGCCCAGACUCCUACGGGAGGCAGCAGUAAGGGAUAUUGCACAAUGGGCGGAAGCCUGAUGCAGCGACGCCGCGUGGGUGAAGAAGGUUUUCGGAUCGUAAAGCCCUUUUCUAUGUGACGAGGAAGGACGGUAGCAUAGGAAUAAGUGUCGGCUAACUACGUGCCAGCAGCCGCGGUAAAACGUAGGACACGAACGUUAUCCGGAGUUACUGGGCGUAAAGAGCGCGUAGGCGGUUGGUUAAGUUACCUAUGAAAGAUACCGGCUAAACUGGUAUAAGUUGGGUGAAACUGGUCGACUAGAGAGAAAUAGAGGGAAGUAGAAUUCCGGGUGUAGUGGUGAAAUGCGUAGAUAUCCGGAGGAAUACCGGUGGCGAAGGCGGCUUCCUGGAUUUUCACUGACGCUGAUGCGCGAAAGCGUGGGUAGCGAACGGGAUUAGAAACCCCGGUAGUCCACGCCGUAAACGAUGUACAUUAGGCGUUCGGCAACGAUGGUUGUUGA